rnacentral:lncRNA from 1 species
UAUAUAUAUAGAGUGAGGCUACUAUACUAUCGGAAGCACGGAGCCUUCCGUGCUUCCAGCUCAUUUUCGAUGUUGCGACUUUUGAAUCGUCGAUCGGCUCCGUUAAACUUGAUCUAAAGUAUUUGAAGUACCUAGAAAAUAAAUUUUAUGAUUUUACGAUAUCAUUUGCCUAGUGAACGAAGGGGCUCAAAAUCAACGGCUGAAUAUAUAUAUAUAUAUAUAUAUAUAUAUAUAUAUAUAUAUAGUUCGGCUAUGGUACUUGUAAAAGCACAAACAUUUGGUACUUGUAAGUUUUUUAAUGAUAGCAUAUAUAGAAUUGAGCUAGAAUACUAUCGAUAGCAAACGGGCUCCGUUGCCACCCAUUUGUUUUCGAUGAUGGAGCCUCCAAAUCGACGAUCGGCGCCGUUAAACAUGAUCUAUAUCACUUGAAGUGUUUAGAAAUCAAAUUUUAUACAUUUUUGAUAUUAUUCUCUUAUCCAUCAAGUGGACACAAAAAUGAACGGCUAAAAAUGAAUAUUCUUUAAAAAAUGAUGAUAGGAGUCUUGUAAUCAAGAUCAAGAGUAUAGAUCUUGUUUUAAAUAGUUUAAAGAAUUUUCUAACAAAAAUUCAAUUGAUUUGGAUAUUUUUACGCCAUUAAAUGAGAAAACGCCUCAUAUCGACCAUUAAAAUUACAAAUUUUGAAACUCUUUGAUCGUUAGGUAAAUAAUGUCGAAAAGAUUUGAAAUUUAAUUUCUAAACACUUUAAGUAGUAUAAAUCAUGUUCAACAGUGCCGAUCGUCGAUUUGGAGACUCUAUCAUCGAAAACAAAUGGGUGGCAACGGAGGCUGUUUGCUAUCGAUAGUAUACUAGCUCAACUCUAUAUAUAUAUAUAUAUAUAUAUAUAGAGAGAGAGAGAGAGAGAGAGAGAGAGAGUUGGACUGGACUGCUAUUAGUAGCAAAAUCUCAUUGUUGUUACCAGUGUUUUUGCCUUUGGAUCAACUCUUUUCAUUAUUUCUAAAUAUUGGAUUAAAUACUAUAACCCAGUGGGGACCACUCAACCCUAGGGGGGCCACUCAACUCUAACCGACUAAUAUCAUCCUGAUCCUACAAUUUUUCAUCCAAGGAUUAAAAAUUUGAUAGCAAAAAGAACGUUUUACUAUUAAUAGUAUUCCAGCCUAAUUCUAUAUAUAUAUAUAUAUAGAGAGAGAGAGAGAGAGAGAGAGAGUUGGACUGGGCUACUAUUAGUAGCAAAAUUCUAUUGUUGUUACCAGUUUUUUAGCCUUUGAAUCAACUUUUUUCAUCAUUUCUAACCAUUGGAUUAAAUACUAUAACCCAGUGGGGACCACUCAACCCUAGGGGGACCACUCAACUCUAACUGACUAAUAACUCUACAAUUUUUCAUCCAAGAGUUAAAAACUUGAUAGCAAAAAGAGCAUUUUACUACCAAUAGUAUUCCAGCCUAAUUCUAUAUAUAUAUAUAUAUAU